AGAGUUUGAUCAUGGCUCAGAUUGAACGCUGGCGGCAGGCCUAACACAUGCAAGUCGAACGGUAACAGGAAGAAGCUUGCUUCUUUGCUGACGAGUGGCGGACGGGUGAGUAAUGUCUGGGAAACUGCCUGAUGGAGGGGGAUAACUACUGGAAACGGUAGCUAAUACCGCAUAACGUCGCAAGACCAAAGAGGGGGACCUUCGGGCCUCUUGCCAUCGGAUGUGCCCAGAUGGGAUUAGCUAGUAGGUGGGGUAACGGCUCACCUAGGCGACGAUCCCUAGCUGGUCUGAGAGGAUGACCAGCCACACUGGAACUGAGACACGGUCCAGACUCCUACGGGAGGCAGCAGUGGGGAAUAUUGCACAAUGGGCGCAAGCCUGAUGCAGCCAUGCCGCGUGUAUGAAGAAGGCCUUCGGGUUGUAAAGUACUUUCAGCGGGGAGGAAGGGAGUAAAGUUAAUACCUUUGCUCAUUGACGUUACCCGCAGAAGAAGCACCGGCUAACUCCGUGCCAGCAGCCGCGGUAAGUACGGAGGGUGCAAGCGUUAAUCGGAAUUACUGGGCGUAAAGCGCACGCAGGCGGUUUGUUAAGUCAGAUGUGAAAUCCCCGGGCUCAACCUGGGAACUGCAUCUGAUACUGGCAAGCUUGAGUCUCGUAGAGGGGGGUAGAAUUCCAGGUGUAGCGGUGAAAUGCGUAGAGAUCUGGAGGAAUACCGGUGGCGAAGGCGGCCCCCUGGACGAAGACUGACGCUCAGGUGCGAAAGCGUGGGGAGCAAACAGGAUUAGAUACCCUGGUAGUCCACGCCGUAAACGAUGUCGACUUGGAGGUUGUGCCCUUGAGGCGUGGCUUCCGGAGCUAACGCGUUAAGUCGACCGCCUGGGGAGUACGGCCGCAAGGUUAAAACUCAAAUGAAUUGACGGGGGCCCGCACAAGCGGUGGAGCAUGUGGUUUAAUUCGAUGCAACGCGAAGAACCUUACCUGGUCUUGACAUCCACAGAACUUUCCAGAGAUGGAUUGGUGCCUUCGGGAACUGUGAGACAGGUGCUGCAUGGCUGUCGUCAGCUCGUGUUGUGAAAUGUUGGGUUAAGUCCCGCAACGAGCGCAACCCUUAUCCUUUGUUGCCAGCGGUCCGGCCGGGAACUCAAAGGAGACUGCCAGUGAUAAACUGGAGGAAGGUGGGGAUGACGUCAAGUCAUCAUGGCCCUUACGACCAGGGCUACACACGUGCUACAAUGGCGCAUACAAAGAGAAGCGACCUCGCGAGAGCAAGCGGACCUCAUAAAGUGCGUCGUAGUCCGGAUUGGAGUCUGCAACUCGACUCCAUGAAGUCGGAAUCGCUAGUAAUCGUGGAUCAGAAUGCCACGGUGAAUACGUUCCCGGGCCUUGUACACACCGCCCGUCACACCAUGGGAGUGAGUUGCAAAAGAAGUAGGUAGCUUAACCUUCGGGAGGGCGCUUACCACUUUGUGAUUCAUGACUGGGGUGAAGUCGUAACAAGGUAACCGUAGGGGAACCUGCGGUUGGAUCACCU
rnacentral:rRNA from 1 species